UACGUAGGGGCCUAGCGUUGUCCGGAUUUAUUGGGCGUAAAGAGCUCGUAGGCGGUUCGGCAAGUCAGCUGUGAAAUCUCCACGCUUAACGUGGAGGGGUCAGCUGAUACUGCCGUGACUCGAGUCCGGUAGGGGAGUGUGGAAUUCCCGGUGUAGCGGUGAAAUGCGCAGAUAUCGGGAGGAACACCAGUGGCGAAGGCGGCUUUCUGGCCUAUUCUUGACGCUGAGGCGCGAAAGCUAGGGGAGCGAACGGG
rnacentral:rRNA from 1 species